rnacentral:rRNA from 1 species
AUGCGGUGGUUUGAUUUGAAGAAUUGUCUUAACAAUAUGCUUGAUGGCAAUGAGGUGUUCUUUCGCAUCAAGAGAUCUACCCAGCUGAAGAAGCUGAUGAAUGCCUACUGCGACCGCCAGUCUGUGGAUAUGAAAGCUAUUGCAUUCCUGUUUGACGGUCGCAGGCUCCGUGCCGAGCAGACCCCUGAUGAGCUUGAGAUGGAAGAUGGCGACGAGAUCGAUGCCAUGCUCCACCAGACCGGAGGCCGCCUCCCUCCACGCGCCUAG